UCGGCCACACUGGGAGUGAGACACGGCCCAGACUCCUACGGGAGGCAGCAGUAGGGAAUCUUCCGCAAUGGACGAAAGUCUGACGGAGCAACGCCGCGUGAGUGAUGAAGGUCUUCGGAUCGUAAAACUCUGUUGUCAGGGAAGAACAGGCGUGGUUCGAAGAGGGCCAUGGUUUGACGGUACCUGACCAGAAAGCCCCGGCAAACUACGUGCCAGCAGCCGCGGUAAUACGUAGGGGGCGAGCGUUGUCCGGAAUUAUUGGGCGUAAAGGGCGCGCAGGCGGUCUUUUAAGUCUGAUGUGACAUCUCGCGGCUCAACCGCGAGCGGUCAUUGGAAACUGGAGGACUUGAGUACAGAAGAGGAGAGUGGAAUUCCACGUGUAGCGGUGAAAUGCGUAGAGAUGUGGAGGAACACCAGUGGCGAAGGCGACUCUCUGGUCUGUUACUGACGCUGAGGCGCGAAAGCGUGGGUAGCGAACAGGAUUAGAUACCCUGGUAGUCCACGCCGUAAACGUUGAGUGCUAGGUGUUAGGGGGUUUCCGCCCCUUUGUGCUGAAGUUAACGCAUUAAGCACUCCGCCUGGGGAGUACGGCCGCAAGGCUGAAACUCAAAAGAAUUGACGGGGGCCCGCACAAGCGGUGGAGCAUGUGGUUUAAUUCGAAGCAACGCGAAGAACCUUACCAGGUCUUGACAUCCUCUGACAGCGGCAGAGAUGCCGUGUUCCCUUCGGGGACAGAGUGACAGGUGGUGCAUGGUUGUCGUCAGCUCGUGUCGUGAGAUGUUGGGUUAAGUCCCGUAACGAGCGCAACCCUUGAUCUUAGUUGCCAGCAUUAAGUUGGGCACUCUAAGGUGACUGCCGGUGACAAACCGGAGGAAGGCGGGGAUGACGUCAAAUCAUCAUGCCCCUUAUGACCUGGGCUACACACGUGCU
rnacentral:rRNA from 1 species